GUGCAGAAGGGAUUUAGGAAAAGAAAACCCAAAAAAAAAAAAAAAAAAAAAAUCAAUAGUAUUGAUUUUGGAACUGUGAUUUCCUUUUUCCUUUCUGAAAAAAAAAAACAGAAAAAGAGAAACACAAACACAACAAAAAAAAAAAAAGUUGUAUUAAAAAUCCUGAUUAGGCACCAUCAUGGAGCAUGGAGGUGUUGUGUCGAAGGGGACGGUGUCAGACUCUUCAAGUUCGUACCAAAAAAUAAUAAUAGUUGCAGCUAUUGCAGCUGGAGUCCAAUUUGGUUGGGCUCUACAGCUUUCAUUGCUAACACCUUACGUACAACAACUUGGAGUUUCACAUACAUGGUCAGCUUUCAUAUGGCUUUGCGGACCAUUAUCGGGGCUUAUUGUGCAACCUACUGUCGGGUACUACAGUGAUCGUUGCACCUCUAGGUUUGGUCGUCGUCGGCCGUUCAUUGUUGCUGGAGCUAGUUUUGUGGCAACUGCAGUUUUCCUCAUUGGCUUUGCUGCAGACAUUGGGCAUGCUGUGGGUGAUGAGCUUUCUAAACCCAUAAAACCAAGAGCCGUUGCCAUCUUUGUGGUUGGAUUUUGGGUUCUUGAUGUUGCAAACAACAUGCUCCAAGGCCCUUGUAGAGCUCUGUUGGCAGAUAUGUCGUGUAAUAACCACAAGAAGAUGAGAAUGGCUAAUGGUUUUUUCUCAUUCUUCAUGGGGGUAGGGAAUGUUUUGGGGUACGCAGCUGGGUCCAAUAACAAACUCCAUAAAUUCCUCCCCUUCACACUAACCGAUGCAUGUGACACUUACUGCGCCAACCUCAAAACAUGCUUCUUGAUCGACAUUGUAUUCCUUCUCCUCAUUACCACGUUCGCUGUGUUGACCGUGACCGAGAAGCCAUUUGAGCGAUUGGAGAUUGACGAAGAAGCAACACCCUUUUUCGGGAAAUUAUUUGGGGCACUCAAGAAGUUGGAGAAGCCCAUGUGGAUUUUGUUGUUGGUAACAGCCUUGAACUGGAUCGGUUGGUUCCCAUUUAUCAUGUAUGAUACUGACUGGAUGGGUUUGGAAGUGUACGGAGGAAAGCCAAAGGGAAGUCCUGAAGAAGUCAAGUUCUAUGACCGUGGUGUUCGUGCUGGGGCCCUUGGGUUGAUGAUAAACUCAUUUGUUUUAGGAUUUUCAGCUUUGGCAAUUGAGCCAAUAAGCCGUAUUCUAGGAGGCCUCAGAUGGUGGUGGGGAGUUGUGAACAUUAUAUUUACAGUUUGCAUGGGAUCCACCGUCGUUGUUACGAAGGUUGCUCAGCGUUGGAGGGCCGUUAAUGGUUUGCUCCCUCCUCCAAUAAACGUCAGGGCCGGAGCAUUUUCGAUCUUUGCGGUAUUGGGUAUUCCAUUGUCAGUCACUUUUAGUGUUCCAUUUGCCCUUGCGUCCAUCUUUUCUUCAGAAUCGGAUGCGGGUCAAGGCCUCUCCUUGGGAAUUCUCAACCUCUUCAUCGUCAUUCCACAGUUUAUCGUAUCCUCAGUUAGUGGGCCAUUAGAUGCUGCUUUCGGAGGAGGAAACUUACCGGCAUUUGUAAUGGGUGGAAUUGCUUCUUUUGCAAGUGCAAUGUGUGCAAUGUUUGUCCUCCCCGAUCCACCACCUCAAUCCGAAGCCUCCUUAACAAUGGCCGGUGUCCAUCGUGCCCAGUUGUUGUCGUCCCUCGUGCCCAGCCACCGCCAUCUCUAUCAUUGUUGUGCAUUCGACGUCCACAUCUGUCUCAAGUUCGCACGUUCAGAUCUUUGACAUUCGCACACUGCCUCGCCACCACCGCCGCACGUCCAUAUCUCUCUCGAUAUGUUUUUGCUCUUGAGCGUCAAUCUCGUUGUUUAUUGAACAAGACCCAUCCACAUCGGCCCUCUCCACACUAACAUCUGGCAAGGAAUUUGCUUAAUGAGUUGCCUGAGAAUAUUGGUAGCUUACAACGCCUCAUUCGAUUAAAUGUAUUUCAAAACAAAAUUUCAUCAAUUCCACCUUCAAUAAAGGAUUCUUGUGCGCUUGCAGAGUUAUAUAUGGGGUGGUGUUCAAUCCAUAAACCGACAUUAAAGGUCAAAUUUCUUCUAGUGGUGCAUUCAUAGUAUUGUAUCUUCUUGGGUUACCUUUGCUUUGUAGUUCAUGAAUUGGGUUUCAACACUUAUAAUUUGAAGAACGGGGCACUGUAGAAUUGACGAAAAAGGAAGGGGAAAUGCUCUACUGCUAUGUGAAAAGAAAUGGAUAACAUUCACUAGGAAGUAGGAUUAAUUGCUAGAGCUGCGGAAGUAGGUUCGUAGUGCUGAAAAUACUAAAAUAUGUUAACAUGUUAAUUGAGCUUUUGUUAGAUGAACAUCUUGCUGAGUAAAAAAGGCUUGUCUUUGGCUGGUGGUGCAUCCUCAUGUUUUACUAA